AACGAACGCUGGCGGCGUGGAUAAGACAUGCAAGUCGAGCGCUGACUACAGGGUAGCAAUAUUCUGUAGUUGGAGCGGCGCAAGGGUGCGUAACACGUGGGUAAUCUGCCGUGAAGUUUGGGAUAACUUGCUGAAAGGUGAGCUAAUACCGGAUGUGACAAUUGGAAGGCAUCUUCUGAUUUUCAAAGCUGGGGACCGUAAGGCCUGGCGCUUCAUGAUGAACCCGCGGCCUAUCAGCUAGUUGGUGAGGUAAUGGCUCACCAAGGCUAAGACGGGUAGCUGGUCUGAGAGGACGACCAGCCACACUGGAACUGAGACACGGUCCAGACACCUACGGGUGGCAGCAGUCGAGAAUUUUUCACAAUGGGCGCAAGCCUGAUGGAGCGACGCCGCGUGGGGAUGAAUGGCUUCCGGCCCGUAAACCCCUGUCAUUUGCGAACAAGUUGGUUCAACUAACACCUGAACCAUUGAUAGUAG
rnacentral:rRNA from 1 species